rnacentral:rRNA from 1 species
GACGAACGCUGGCGGCGUGCUUAACACAUGCAAGUCGAACGGACAGGCCCUGCGUUUGUGUGUUUCUCGUUUGCCGAACGGGUGAGUAACACGUGAGUAACCUGCCCUUAACUUUCGGGUAACUUCUGGAAACUGGGGCUAUUACCGGAUAGGAGCUCCUGCUGCGUGUUGGGGGUUGGAAAGUUUCGGCGGUUGGGGAUGGACUCGAGGGUUAUCAGCUUGUUGGUCGGGUAGUGGCUUACCAGGGGUUUGAAGGGUAGCCGGCCUGGGAGGGUGACCGGCCACAAUGGGACUGCGAGACGGCGCAGAAUCGUAUGGGAGGCAGUAGUGGGGAGUAUGGCACAAUGGGCGGAAGUCUGAUGCAGAAACGUUGCGUGCGGGAUGACGGCUUUCGGGUGGUAAACCGCUUUCGCCGGUGCUGAAGAGUUAGUGACGGUAACGGGUAAAGAAGCACCGGCUAACUACGUG